rnacentral:misc_RNA from 1 species
GCGGAUGCUGGCCCACUCCUCGGGCAUCAUCGGUCUGCCGCUGCGUCUCCUGGCGCGCGAGGUCUACAACAAGAUCGCCGCGCGGGCCGGAGCGGGCGCGGUCGCGCUCAUCACCGGCGAAGAAAAGAUCAAGCCGCCUCAUGCGCGCUAUUGGGUCUCCACCGUCGAGGCGAUGCCCCGCGAUCUCGAUGUGUCGUUUCUGGCCGUCG